UGGUCAGAUGACUACUCAACUGUUAUUGGUCAACUGGGUUCGGCGUGUGUUUGAAAGGUUACGCCCCUGACUACGCGUGGAUUUUCCGGUUCUGACUGAGAGUCACAGGCAACGUAAACAAGCGCUAUAUUUCUCUAUAAACGAUGGUGUCUGUACUGCCUUACCACUUCAAGCUCGAUCCAGAGAGUUCAGACGGCCGUUACGAUGUAAACGAUCUCCGUCAAUGAACGCGAUUGGAUUUAACUUUUUUAGGUGUCCUUAGCUCUGCCAGAAUGCUAAACGAAGACGAAAAUGUGUUGCAAAGACAUCCAAAAGGUUUUAAGGAGAAUGCAACAGGUUCCAGGGCCUCUUACCUGCGUGAUUCAUCAUCCAGGUUUUGCACAAAUUGUCUAAAUCCCUACACACAGAACAUUUAUUGUACCGACUAUAAGCCUUUGAGGUGCAGGACUACAAUACGCUUGGAGCUUCCUGAUCAGAUCGGUCACAAUUUUGGCUUUCGACGACCCCUGCACUGAAGAUGGCAUGCAAUCACGUCCUCCUUUGAAGGUCUCUCAAACUGUGAUGCCAGGUCCAUUGGAAUCGGGGUUUCCU